UAUAAGUGGUGAUGAUGACGACAUAAUGUCACGUUCCUGAAGUCUCCAUGUGGCUUUUUUGUCACUACCUCAUCUGAGCUUAAU
ensembl:snoRNA Small nucleolar RNA SNORD11B